CCGAAAAUGUCCUUGCCCUUCUUUAGAUUGAAAGGCAGCAGUCUGCUGAGUAUGUGCAAUGUUGGGACAAUUUCUUAUGCGUCGCAAUAUGUCAAAAAUGUUGAAAAGUACAUCUAGACAAUAAGACAGCUGAGCGAGUACAAAGUGCAACAAAAGUACUAAAGUUGAUGGUGCCAGACCUGCUAUUUCCAGCAUUUGUAUCUUCAGGGUGAGGCUCGGUUGAACGCAGCUGCCAACAGCUUGUUGUCUAUCAAAUGUGGAAGAAUGUCAGUCCUUAAAUGUACAUCGUCAAAGGCAGAAAAGCAGCAAGAUCAUUAAAUCCCGCUGCCAAGGAGGAGAGAGGGGGGAAAGAACUCCAUGAUUUUCAGAAAGGGUCAUUGAUGUCCUAAAAGAGAGCUUCAUGCCAAAAGGGAUGUCUUCUGCACCGUGGUAACUGAAACCGUCACAGCUGCCAUUUGGAGGCGUCUACCAAGCGGUACCCUGUAUUGUCUCGUCAAGGAGUGAAAAUCAUCAGAUUACGAAGCAAUGCUACAAGAAAUCUGAUGACCUGAUUAGAGACGUCAAAUGGCGCAGCGGCAGAGUUGCUGCAUUACAGCACCGGGUG